GUGCCAGCCGCCGCGGUAAGACGAAGGAUGCAAGCGUUAUCCGGAUUCAUUGGGUUUAAAGGGAGCGUAGGUGGCCUUAUAAGUCAGUGGUGAAAUCUUCCCGCUUAACGGGAAAAUUGCCAUUGAUACUGUAGGGCUUGAGUAUAGUUGCCGUUGGCGGAAUAUGACAUGUAGUGGUGAAAUACAUAGAGAUGUCAUAGAACACCGAUUGCGAAGGCAGCUAACGAAACUAUAACUGACACUGAGGCUCGAAAGUGCGGGGAUCAAACAGGAUUAGAUACCCCAGUAGUCC
rnacentral:rRNA from 1 species